rnacentral:lncRNA from 1 species
AUGUGCAGCAAGAGUCAGACUGUCUUGGGAGGAGGAAACUGGACAGUCUCCGGAAGCAGGGGGGAAUCUCCCAUCAAGCAUUGCCAAGGAAGGAAUAGUGCAAUAAGGCAGCUUACCUGGAUCGUGGACACCUGGGCGGCCUACAAGGACUCACCCGCCCUGCGACAUGCUCCUGAGGCUGACUCCAAGGACACCCAGAAUUGUGCAACCCAGCCGGGGACGGGAGACCCGUGGGGAGACCUGGCGGAAGUUGGAUGCACCUGCUGCUGUCUGGGGGAAGGAGCAUCAAUCAGUAUGUAAAUCGUGUAAGUGAGGAUCCAAUCAGCGUGCCACGAAGUGAAAACGGCAUUUGAUUGGCUGGGACAUUUUAAGCCUAUGCUGCCCAUAAACAGUCUGGCUUGCCCAGCAACCACGUUUAACUUCACCUGAUUUCAUUUCCUUGAAGUGUUGAGGUUCAUUUUGCAAUGUUUUAGAGAGAGCCCUGGGCUGGGGCCGGGAGCCUGGGGAAUUGAGUGCCAUUUCUGCGACCGGUUGAGUGUCGGGAGUGAGGGGAAACUCACUUGAUAAUAGGCUGAGAAGUGGAAAGCGCAGCGGUCCAGGCUUCUCCCAGCACUGUGGCCUGCACGCCUGCCACGUUCUAUCCUGGGUGUUGGAGGUACCAGCUUCCUUCCCUACUCCUGGAAGGGAGGUACCAGGAUGUCAGCGCAGAGAGACAGGUCUCCCUGUGUCCUCUUGAGGGGGCCUGUUGUGGCCACUGGUUUUCCUCCUGGUACCCCUGUUGGCUUCUUCUUUUUUUUAAGUAUUUCUUUAUCUGAAAGGCAGAGUUACAGAGAGGGAGAGGCAGAACAGAGAGAGAGUAGUCUUCCAUCCAUUGGUUCACUCCUCAAAUGACCACAACAAACGGCUGUGCCAGGCUGAAGCCAGGAACGUCUUCCGGGUCUCCCACGUGGGUACAGGAACCCAAGGACUUGAACCAUUUUCCACUGCUUUCCCAGGCCAUAGCAGAGAGCUGGAUCGGAAGUGGAACAGCCAGGACUGGAACCGGUGCCCAUAUGGGAUGCUGGCACGGCAGGCAGAGGCUUAGCCUACUACGGCCACAGCACCAGCCCCUGGCUUUCCUUUCACUAAAACUAUGGAGAUCACUUGUUAUGUGAUAGGCCAGGAGCUGGCGCUGGGGAGAUGUUUGAAAUCUGGACCACAGAAGAACCAGUGGUUCCUCCGUUGGCUCCAGCAGGAGGCAGGAUCCUGGGUGCUUGCUGUCCCACGUGGGGCAGCAGAGCUGUGCGUGCGUGCGGGCACG